rnacentral:rRNA from 1 species
UACGUAGGUGGCAAGCGUUAUCCGGAAUUAUUGGGCGUAAAGCGCGCGCAGGCGGUUUCUUAAGUCUGAUGUGAAAGCCCACGGCUCAACCGUGGAGGGUCAUUGGAAACUGGGGAACUUGAGUGCAGAAGAGAAAAGCGGGAAUUCCACGUGGUAGCGGAUGAAAUGCGUAGAGAAUGUGGAGGAACACCAGUGGCGAAGGCGGCUUUUUGGUCUGUAACUGACGGCUGAGGCGACGAAAGCGUGGGGAGCAAACAGGG